AAUACUGUUUGUAUUGUACACACGAAUGUAUAUUGCUUAGAAGGUUUAGAAAGAAAAAUUCGUUUGCUUAGAAGAAAGUGCUAGACAUCAUCUGAAGAUUAGUUCGAGACAUGAAGACUUGUUUUCUCAUCGUAGCUGCUAUUUUGGUCCACAUCUCCAUGGUAGAUGGGUGUAGCUGUCUUGCUAGUGAUCAGCGAGCCCAAUACUGUGAUUCUGCAUACGUGGUCAUUGCCAAAGUUAUUAAUGUAUCUUACAGAAAAGGAGUUCCGCAAUUUUUUGCUAAUCGGAUUUAUGAUGUAGAUGUUAUGCAUGUUUACAAAGGAAAUGUCAACAAGGGUCCUGUAAGAGUUCGCACUGCCGCUCGCGGUACUAUGUGUGGUGUGUCUCUUAGGAAAAAUGCUAUGUAUCUUCUGAACGGUCACUUUUUGCCAGUCUGGGAUCUUCAACCCCCUACUUUUGGGGAGGAAAAGGUGGAAUUUACACAGGGCAAAUGUGGAUCAAUAGCUGUGACAUGAUGGCUUUCUAUCCGGUUAAUGACCCGAAAAAAUAUGUUCCUUUCGACUACGACUGCAGAUGCAAGGUGAAAAAUAUGAUACUGGAGGGAAGAGAAAAAAAAUCCAAAUGGAUCUGUGCCCGAGGGAAUACAAUACGAUGUCCCCCGGAGUCUGGCAAAAUGGCGGAGUGUCGGUAUGACAGAGACAAAGACGACUGUGUCUGGACCUGUUAAGUCCUCUUGAGAAAUUUCUAGUGAACGAUGAUAAAUAAACUGAAUAUGUAAAUGAAAAAUACUGUAUUUGGACUAGACGAAAGUGAAUGGAAAUCAAUUAAGUUACCUUCUAAGACAACAAGAAAAUCAAAACUUCAUUGGUUCCAAUAUAGACUUAUUAAUAGAACAUUGGCUACAAAUGCUUUCCUGCAUAAAAUUAAGAGGAAGUGUACAAAAAGCUGUACGUUUUGUAAAUUGGAAGAAAAAACAUUGGAACACAUCUUCUGAGAAUGUGUAAAUGCACAAUCCUUUUUAGAUACUUUGGAAACAUAUGUUGAAGAAAAUACAACUCUACAGUAACUGUUAACUAUUACAAAAAGAAAUUUUUAUUACAAUUUCUAGAUUCAAACAAAUAUAUUCAAAACACACUUUUUCUGUGGUUGAACUUACUACAUAUAUACAAUGAGGUGUACAGAAAAGACAAUAAAUGUACUAGCUGUAGCGAUAUCCAACUUGAAAAAUAACUAUUAGAUCUUGAAAUAGGAGUGAUGAGAUUAAUCACUGUUUGUUAUCUUUACCUUUCCUCCUAUCAAAAUGGUGAAAGAACAAAAAUUCACACAACCUGGAACGGAUGGAACCUAUAAUUCAAUUGAAACAGCCUUUUAAUUUAUCUACUCUCUCUCUCUCUCUCUCUCUCUCUCUCUCUCUCUCUCUGAUAUAACAUUUUCUUUAAAUUAAAUGUUUUCAUAUUAUAGAAUAGAAGAAAAUAAAGACUUAUAAACACUUUUUUUUUAAAGCUUUGAACGUCCCUUGAUUCAUUGUCAUUGUGCUGAAUCAUUAUGUUCUUAGAAUCAGAUAUGAAGUUAACAAUUACUGAGAAUUUAAUUGCGGAUUUUGUGGUUUUAGAAUUUAAAUAUCUGACUUAGAUGAAAUAUUCAUGUAAAAUGUAAAUUCUUUCAAUUUGUGUAUUUCAUUGUUUUGCACUGUAGUUUUGUUGCAAUUAAAAGCUAUAUUGCA